UACAGGGGGUGCAAACGUUGCUCGGAAUCAUUGGGCGUAAAGCGCACGUAGGCGGUUCGUUAUGUCUGAUGUGAAAGCCCUUGGCUUAACCGAGGAAGUGCAUCCGAAACUGGCGAGCUAGAGUACGAAAGAGGAUCGCGGAAUUCCCGGUGUAGAGGUGAAAUUCGUAGAUAUCGGGAGGAACACCGGUGGCGAAGGCGGCGAUCUGGGUCGAUACUGACGCUGAGGUGCGAAAGCGUGGGGAGCAAACAGG
rnacentral:rRNA from 1 species